rnacentral:rRNA from 1 species
UACGUAGGGUGCAAGCGUUAAUCGGAAUUACUGGGCGUAAAGCGUGCGCAGGCGGUUAUAUAAGACAGAUGUGAAAUCCCCGGGCUCAACCUGGGAACUGCAUUUGUGACUGUAUAGCUAGAGUACGGCAGAGGGGGAUGGAAUUCCGCGUGUAGCAGUGAAAUGCGUAGAUAUGCGGAGGAACACCGAUGGCGAAGGCAAUCCCCUGGGCCUGCACUGACGCUCAUGCACGAAAGCGUGGGGAGCAAACAGG